rnacentral:rRNA from 1 species
AUUGAACGCUGGCGGCAGGCCUAACACAUGCAAGUCGAGCGAGCGGCGGACGGGUGAGUAAUGUAUGGGGACUGCCCGAUAGAGGGGGAUAACUACUGGAAACGGUGGCUAAUACCGACAACUAUCGGAUAACCCAUAUGGGAUUAGCUAGUAGGUGGGGUAAAUGCUCACCUAGGCGACGAUCUCUAGCUGGUCUGAGAGGCUGAUCAGCAAAACUGGGACUGAGACACGGCCCAGACUCCUACGGAGGCAGCAGUGGGGAAUAUUGCACAAUGGGCGCAAGCCUGAUGCAGCCAUGCCGCGUGUAUGAAGAAGGCCUUAGGGUUGUAAAGUACUUUCAGCGGGGAGGCGUUACCCGCAGAGUCAGCACCGGCUAACUCCGUGCCAGCAGCCGCGGUCCUUC